CUUACAUUCCCCAUAUUUAUUUACAAAGUAUAAUCACUUUAAAUAUAUUGCCAAAACCAGUUAGUAUCUAAGCCGAACCCGCUGAUCUCUUAAUCGUUAAAUACCCGAGCUUAAUGUCCGUUUAAUGUUCAAUUGGUGAAAAGUUGUUUUCCUCCAAAAAUGAAAAUAUAUAUCUUUUUGGGUCAAGUCUCGCCAAAUUCAAAUCUUAAUUACUGUCUGACAAGUGUUUUGAAAUCUACAGAAGUUUCUGAGUUUCUUUAAUUAACCCGAUUGCAAUGCGAUAUUUAUGUAAAUGCUGUCAGUUUGUUGACAGUGAAAAGUUGUUGUCCACGUUUAAUUAUAAUUCCAAACACAUCGGAACACAUCGCACGUGAUUUAGAAGACUUGUUCGUCGAACAUUAGAGUUCACCCAGUUGCAAUCUCUGACCUUUUGGCUAUAACACCUAAGAUGUACUAGGGAUACAAUUAGCCACAGGAUACUUGACAAAGCCAGAAUAUUUAAUCAUGAGUAAGACGAAUACAUGUUCGAAAGAUGUAUCUGCUUUUCGCCAGAUGGUUUUACGUGACGCAGACGAUUUUCGUGGAAUUUUCAGAUAUGUUGAUGUUCGAUUUCGCAUGAAGCCUAUGACUAAGACGAAACACUUAAGCGUGUGCCACGGCCUGAAUGCACAGAGAACAAUCGGUGAUAUUAAUGUUUAUAUCACUCAUAUAGACUUCUUGAACUAUACAAAAAGCAUAAAUGGCAUGAGAUCCAAUAUUGUUUUUAGUGUGGCAGAAAUAUGAAAGUUGCGAGAAAGGAACACAAUCUUUUAACAAUCAGCGAUCAACAAACAUUUUCCAAAUGUUUAUGCUCCAAGGAGUCUUAUCGUGACCGCAGAUUUUAUUUCGAUAAAAACUGGCUUGUGAAAUUUGAGAUAUAUGUAUGUACAUAUGUACAUAUGUAUGUCCGGGGGGAAUGGCAAUCGAUCCGAACUGAUCCUAUCUGAUUUAUUGGACUCGGCGUGGUUCUCUGCGGUUUUCUGCUGCUAUUUAUAACCCAGACAGUAGUCGUCUCAUUUAGGGAUAUAUACGGUAUACAUAUGUACACUCUUUUAGAUCGCUAUACGGACAUGCGGACAUUCGGACAUGUGGGCUUAAUGGUUUUUUAACUGAUUUUUAUUGCCGUUCACCCGCUUCUCAGGUUGCUUCCCCGUCAGUAGCAAAUCAUUACUGAUUGAGACAUGCCAGUGGUGCAAUUUUUACGAGUUUUUUGCGAAUAUAAUUUAUAUCCCUCCUGGGGCUGUAUUUUCAGUAGCCCACCCACAUAAUCGAUCAACUUGGGAGGUGUAUUUCACUUAAGUUGUCGUUCCUAAAAGUUAUAUUUCUUUCUAGUUUAUAACUUUAUACAUCAUACUCCUCCAAAUACAGUAGUCCUAUGUGUUAUGGGAGGAGCCCCCAUUUAGCCUCGAAAUGCGAAGUCUGGCAAGUGGGACGUCUGAAGGUCCCCAAUGUCCGACCAUAUCAUCCAGAUCUACGAUCUGGUGUUAUAACACCCACGGCAGGCAGUUCGGUUCCCAUGACAAAUGCUCUAGCUCUUAUCGGGCUACUGGAACUAGCCGUGUAUUGCCACAUCUAGACCGCUUUAAUUAUUUUGUACAAUCGAGUACACGCACUUGAGAGCAGUACAAGGUGCUAUGUUACAUACCCUCGCUGUUAUGUAUUGCCUUAUAUACAUACCUAUGUAUGUAUGUUCAUAUGUAUAUAGCCCAGAUAAGCCAGCGUGUGUCCGGAUUGAAACGUUUAAUUUACAAUUGAGAUAGUUUCGAGGGACUUGAGAGCUACAUACAUAUGUAUGUAUGUAUAGCUAUAGCUCCGAAUUGACGGAAGGAGAACAGGUAGAAGAAGAAUGUCCAACCUGAAGAAUGGGCCCAAAAAAAUAAAAGAACGAAGAAAGACGGAGAGGGAGAGCGCUUUCAAGAAGAAGAGUGGUGUAACAGGUAGUCGCGUUUUCGUUUUGUUUCCAUUUCCUUGGCUCUCUGUUCUCUCCACAAAAAAGGGCAUGAAAAAUCCCGCUAAAUAUUCCUCGGCUAUACCUGAGACACGGGUAAAUUCUUGUACAUAUGUACGCCGGUAAUUGUUGGAAAUCGGCAGGUAUACGAGGAGUUCUGCAGGUAUACAAAUGCAGUGAAAGCAGAGACUUCCAGUGUGUUUUCCCACAUCUCCAUCUCCAUUUGUGUUCUCUCUUUCACUCAUUCACCGCUCUAUGCCUUUGGCUUUGCUUGUUCUUUUGUCGGUGGUGCAGCAGCUCCCAUCUCGAAAAUGAAAUCCACUCCAGCAUCGCGAUGUACACAAGCAACAACACAACGGGUUCCAAGAACUUGUCGCCUACACACACACACAAACACCAACGCAGAUGCAGCUCCAUAAUGGCAGAGUCAGAGUUGAAAGUUGGCGGAGAGUGCGCGGUAGGAGGGGGUUGGUGCCCCAACGGGGGGUUAAAUGCAUCGGCAGACUCGUGAGCGUCAGCGUUGCCAGAUGACAUUAAAAUUUAAACAUAAAUCUCGGUUAUGCUGCUGAAAAAACCACAGGCUUAACCCCAGAAGUAAAUUAGCUUACGGGACGCUAAAAAAAAUGGUACGUAAAAUAAAUUAAGUUAAUAGCUUUUGUAAUGUAA